ACACACACAGAGAGAGAGAGAGAGAGAGAGAGAGAGAGAGAGAGAGAGAGAGAGAGAGAGAGAGAGAGAUUCUUUUUGACCCCCUUUGCAUCUUGGUUUCUUCUUGAGCUUCUGAGCAUCCCAAACUAGCUAAGACCACCGCUUGCCUAGACUCCUUGCAGAGUCUGAGGAAAUUUGGCCUCGUUUUCCUAGGACGAGGGAAUGAGCUCCGGAGGUCAAUAAAGCCCUCCAAAAAUGAUGAAUGAUUGAGCACCUGUGAUGAUGAUAGUGAUUACCAGAGCAAUUAAACAGUUUGAUUAAAUGAGCCAUCAUAACAAUGAUGUCUGCGGGAAAUCGGCCCUCUCAUAUAAAGACAGUGUGGAGGGGCUGGCAGAGGCGCGGAGAGCGCGCCGGGAGAGGGGCCGCGGCCCGCGCGGGGUUGACUCCAGUGGCCAAAGCAGGGACGGCGGGCUCUGGGAGCAGACUCAAGCCUAGGCUUUCCGACUCGGUUCCUCCCUGGCUUCAAGCCUAAGACACCCGACCCUUCUGAAACCUGAAGGACCACAGGGUCCUUUCCCUUCCCCCUCCCCCUGUUUUUUUUUUCCCUAGAAGAACUCCAAGAUUACAAAUAUCCGCUUCAUUUGACGCUCUUACUCGUCGACACAUAAGAAAAGUCUCCAUGAACACAGUUAGCACAGUCUUGGGCUACCUCCUGAACCAGUAUGCCAACUCCACAUCCAUCUCCAACCCAACAGAGAGCAAAGCUAUGCAUUCCUCCGUUAUCCAUAGGACUCAUUCCGAGAUGCCUGGUGGAUGUCUGAAACCAUGGAAAGAACUGAACUCCGAAGCAUCUCAUUUGGGGCUAUAAGUCAGUGUAUGUGUCAAAAGACAAGACACAGUCCUGGAAUGGGAAGAAUGUCCACAAACACUACCAGCUGCUCAAGGCUAUAUGAAGAAAACCUUGCACCUCUUUGUGGGAAGAUAUCUCCUUCAGACAUCUCCAGUGGUGAAAGGGUCUCAACAAAAAGGAGCUUCUGGGACUGAGGGGACUCAGAAUGUGACCUGGAGGCAGGUCCUGGCCCUGGGUCUGUCCCCAGCUAACUAUAUACUCUUAAAGCACCUGAGCCAUUUUCUUUAAAUCGAAGCGUGAGACUUGUACACAUUUACAGGAUCCAGUACCAUGAUUUAAUAUAUAUCUACAGUGUGCGCUGAUCAAACAGGACAAAAGCACUUCCAUGUCAUCAAAUAUUAAUAAAUUUUGCAUGCUAAAACUUCCAUAUUCUUCUAACUGUUUUGAAAUGUAAUAAUAUGGAUUAUUACAACCCAUCAUUAUCCUGCUGUGCUGUAAACAACCCGAAUGAAUUCCAUCAAGCUGUGUUUUGGUCUCCUUUAAUUUCUUUCCAUCACCUCUUCCUCUGUUCUUUCCACUCUCUAGAGAUUACUGUUCUACCACAUCCUUUGAUGAGAUCCACUUUUUGUUUCUGCAUUGUAUGCUAUUUACCGGUCCGGUUCUGGCUGAUUUCACUUAAUAUAAUGACCUCCAAUUCUAUACAUGUUGUCACAAAUGACAAAGCCACAUUUUUUUUUCUUGUGAUAUAACGUGCACACACACACACACCCCACUUCAUUGUGUCUCAUACUUUCUUCACCCGCCACCCUUCAGUGUUCACCUGGGUUGGCUUAAUAGACCAUUAGUGUUUCACUCUUCAGGUGGCAUACACGGCAUCUUUCGGUACUAUGAAAGCCAGCCGAAGGAAAGCAAUGCUUUAAUCAGUUUAAGACUGAUUUUGGGGGCUGGAGAGAUGGCUCAGAGGUUAAGAGCAUUGCCUGCUCUUCCAAAGGUCCUGAAUUCAUUUCCCAGCAACCACAAGGUAGCUCACAACCAUCUGUAAUGGGGUCUGGUGCCCUCUUCUGGACUGCAGGCAUACACACAGACAGAAUAUUGUAAAAAUAAUUUUAAAAAAUGAUUGAUUUUGUUGUGCCCUGCAACCAAAAUAUGAGGAAACUUCAGCAGUGCAGUCUCGUUCUGAUGGGUAGUAUUCUAUUUUGUUUGCUUUGGAGACUUCUAAGUUCUCCCUGACCAAUAAUAACUCAUGGGGAAGUAUCCCAUGUCUGACACUGAGAUUUUUAUUUGACAACUCAUCCUUUCUGGGAGCAGCUUUGUCCAUGAUGAAUAUUUGUUGUUUUGUCUUUUUGACUACAGCCAGUCUAACUUGAAUGUUAUUUCUCAUUGUAGUUUUAAUGUGCGUUUCUUUGAAGAUUAUUGAUUAUUUGGCAUUUUUCAAAUAUUUUUGGCCAUGUCACUUUUCUAAUGUAUUGAACAUCAAUAACCUUCAGCAAAAAAUUGUGACAGUAUCUGACAUAGAUGGACACCCUCUGCUGGCUCCUCAACACCCACACUACUUUUUCCUUCUUGUUUUUUGAGCCUCAAGGUUGGCAUGAGUAGGUUCAGAACUCUAACGUAGACAUGCUUUCCUGUUUAGUAUGUCCAGAACGGGUCAAGUUCCUUUUGGGUGUUGAUUCCUAGGGUCCCAGUGGACUGGUUGCAUAUCAACCCCUACUCACAAUUCUCUUUCUGGGUUCAGGUAACCAUGUUGUUCUCUGUCUUUGGGACUGUCUUUGGGGCACCAUACUUUCCCCUUGUGGCUUACUUAAUACCCUGCUCACACUUUUUAACUCUAGCUCCUUUCUUUAUUAAGUUCUCAAAUUACCCAGUUUGAUGUGCACCAUCUGUUUACUGCUGGCCUCUGACUGGUACGCAUGAUGUGUUCGGAGGACCAAAAUUAAAGGAGCGAGCACAUGUAAGGCGUGUUUCACAGUCCUUUGCGUUCAGCAAAAGUUAAAUAAAGAAGACACGUUAUUUUUACAAUCAUUACCUGGUAAUACUUUCUUAUUUUAAAUGUGGGGAAAUUAGGCCCCAGAGCAGAGAAUUAACGUAUCCUAGACCCAAUUAACUCAAACCAGUAACAACCCAAAGACCAAAUCCCUGGACUGUGGAGCCAAGUUCACUGCUCCUUUGGAAAUAUCUUGUUGAGUUGGGGGGGGGGGGUCCUUUUUCCAUAGCUGCAUGGAAAGGAGGAGACGAGCUAGGGUCAGAGGCACAUUAGUUAGCAUGUGCCUGCCAACUACCACCACCUUUGUCUCUACUAAAUUAUUGCUGAAAUAAAGUCUGUCUUGGCAAUUUAGAACCCAGUGAUUUCACAAUGGAUGGAACAGGUAUGUAACAGGGUGUGAGAUGCAUGCUUGACAGGUUAAAAACAAAUUUAUGAGCACAAAUUGGAAGUUUUACCAGAGGGCAUAAUAAUGCUUUCCAGACAUAGACGAUAUGGCAGCAUUAAUUUUCAAAUAAAGGCUGAUCUGGGGAUUAGCAGCCUGGAUUACAUAGGAACUUCAUAAUUCUUUAGAACACACUGAUGCGCUAUGAACUCCUCUAGGAACAGUCCCAAAUCCUCGUCCACAGACACUGGGCGAUGUAACUGCACUAAUCAGGCGAGGGAAAUUGUUUACUCAUUCCUUCCUAUUUUAACCCAGUCAUUCAAAGAAAUACUGAGUUUCAAUGUUCCUCUAGAACACUUAUAGGUGUUCACACGUGAGGAAUGCUUAGAUACGUUUCUGGAUUCAGUAGGCUUGUAAAGGGAGCUAGACGGAGGUGUACAAACAGACUUUGGGAAGAAACAAGGAAGAAAUAUUCUGCUGCUGCUGUGCAGACACUGAAGAAUCCAAGGAGGGCAGGGAAAUUGAGAGCGGAGCAGACGCCCCUGGGAAAGUCUAAGCGAAGAGCGGUACCUCUCCACCCAACUGCAAUUUAGUCGUCUAAAUCCUUCCAAACUACCAAUGAUGUCAACUUAUUAAUAUUUAUCAUUUUAGUAACCUAACUAUUAGUAAUAAUGUAAAGCAUGUAAUAGUGGAUUUUUACUCUGCUAUAGCAGGUUGACUGGGGUAUAUAUGGAACUGAGAAAAAUUUAAAUAAUGCUUCCCUUGGUGACUGGAGUGUAUAAUAGGAAAAGUGGGCUAAAUUUAAAAGGUGAUAUUAUAUACAGGCUCUGUGGAAAAUGUCACCUGACAAAAAGAUUGCAUUAGUGUACUACACCAAUUAAGUCUUGUUUAUAGAAUAAGUUGGGCUAGGCUCCACAGAGAUCCAGCUUUAAAAACGAGUUGGGAAUCUAUGUGUGCCUGGAGAAGAAUUAUGAAAUAAUGGUGUUUAUUUAUGAACCCAGGAUUUAUGCAUCUGCAAUCGGAGAUGCUAAUAAAUACAACACAACCCAAAUUAGCUAUUUCUACAUAUGCAUCACAACAUUGGUCAUUUCUGUUUCAGUUGGGAUUGAUGCCUAAGGGUGCUUUACUUUCCCUUGAUGAUGCUUCUACACUUUGUUGUCUUUCCACCCCAGAUCUCUAACCUUGGUUGGUGCUCAUUUCUGCUGUGUGUGUCCACUGGCCUUAUUUGUCUGAGCUUACUUCUCUAUUUUUCUCCAGCCCCAUGUCUCAAAAGCCACCUCCAGUCACAUCAAUUAAGUAUGCAUGCAUGUCUGUACAUAUUAUGUAUGUGUGUUCUUCUGGUUUAGUUACCCACAGUUAUGUCUACAACCCGGAACUUAAAGUAUCUUUUAAUGUCUCAAAUGUGUAGAGUUGGAAUUUUUUUUUCUUU